AACGCGAAGAACCUUACCUACCCUUGACAUCCUCGGAACCUGCUAGAGAUAGUGGGGUGCCUUCGGGAACCGAGUGACAGGUGCUGCAUGGCUGUCGUCAGCUCGUGUCGUGAGAUGUUGGGUUAAGUCCCGUAACGAGCGCAACCCUUGUCCUUAGUUGCCAACAGGUUAUGCUGGGAACUCUAAGGAGACUGCCGGUGAUAAGCCGGAGGAAGGUGGGGAUGACGUCAAGUCCUCAUGGCCCUUACGGGUAGGGCUACACACGUGUUACAAUGGGCAGUACAAAGGGAAGCGAAGCCGCGAGGUGGAGCGAAUCUUAUAAAAGCUGCUCGUAGUCCGGAUUGGAGUCUGAAACUCGACUCCAUGAAGUUGGAAUCGCUAGUAAUCGCGGAUCAGAACGCCGCGGUGAAUACGUUCCCGGGCCUUGUACACACCGACAUA
rnacentral:rRNA from 1 species